rnacentral:rRNA from 1 species
CCUACGGGUGGCUGCAGUGGGGAAUAUUGGACAAUGGGGGCAACCCUGAUCCAGCCAUGCCGCGUGUGUGAAGAAGGCCCUCGGGUUGUAAAGCACUUUCAGUGAGGAAGAACGCCUGGUGGUUAAUACCCAUCAGGAAAGACAUCACUCACAGAAGAAGCACCGGCUAACUCCGUGCCAGCAGCCGCGGUAAUACGGAGGGUGCGAGCGUUAAUCGGAAUUACUGGGCGUAAAGCGCGCGUAGGUGGCUUGAUAAGCCGGUUGUGAAAGCCCCGGGCUCAACCUGGGAACGGCAUCCGGAACUGUCGAGCUAGAGUGCAGGAGAGGAAGGUAGAAUUCCCGGUGUAGCGGUGAAAUGCGUAGAGAUCGGGAGGAAUACCAGUGGCGAAGGCGGCCUUCUGGACUGACACUGACACUGAGGUGCGAAAGCGUGGGUAGCAAACAGGAUUAGAUACCCGGGUAGUC